rnacentral:rRNA from 1 species
GACGAACGCUGGCGGCGUGCCUAAUACAUGCAAGUCGAGCGCAGGAAAUCGGCGGAACCCUUCGGGGGGAAGUCGACGGAAUGAGCGGCGGACGGGUGAGUAACACGUAAAGAACCUGCCCUCAGGUCUGGGAUAACCACGAGAAAUCGGGGCUAAUACCGGAUGGGUCAUCGGACCGCAUGGUCCGAGGAUGAAAGGCGCUCCGGCGUCGCCUGGGGAUGGCUUUGCGGUGCAUUAGCUAGUUGGUGGGGUAAUGGCCCACCAAGGCGACGAUGCAUAGCCGACCUGAGAGGGUGAUCGGCCACACUGGGACUGAGACACGGCCCAGACUCCUACGGGAGGCAGCAGUAGGGACUCUUCCACAAUGGACGAAAGUCUGAUGGAGCAACGCCGCGUGAACGAUGAAGGCCUUCGGGUCGUAAAGUUCUGUUGUAAGGGAAGAACAAGUGCCGCAGGCAAUGGCGGCACCUUGACGGUACCUUGCGAGAAAGCCACGGCUAACUACGUGCCAGCCGCCGCGGUAAAAC